rnacentral:rRNA from 1 species
GACGAACGCUGGCGGCGUGCUUAACACAUGCAAGUCGAACGGGCUGCCUGGUUUUCGGUUCGGGUGGUGAGUGGCGAACGGGUGAGUAACACGUGAGUAACCUGCCCCUCUCUUUGGGAUAACGUCGGGAAAUCGGCGCUAAUACCGGGUAUUCUGGCUUCCUCGCAUGGGGUUGUUGGGAAAGGUUUUUUCUGGUGGGGGAUGGGCUCGCGGCCUAUCAGCUUGUUGGUGGGGUGAUGGCCUACCAAGGCGGUGACGGGUAGCCGGCCUGAGAGGGUGUCCGGCGACACUGGGACUGAGACACGGCCCAGACUCCUACGGGAGGCAGCAGUGGGGAAUAUUGCACAAUGGGCGGAAGCCUGAUGCAGCGACGCCGCGUGGGGGAUGACGGCCUUCGGGUUGUAAACCUCGUUCAGUGCAGAACAAGGCUCUUUGUGGGUUGAGGGUAUGCGCAGAAGAAGCGCCGGCUAACUACGUG